CUCCGGUGCAGUCUUGGAAAUCAGCUCUGUUGUCGUAGUAGCAGCGCUAACCCCUUUUCCCUUGAUUAAAGAGUGAUUUUGACUAUUUAAUAGUUCUGUGUUUUUUCUAGUUGACAUUAAUGGAGGCCCCAGCGAGAUCCGAAGUCCCCGCGGCCUGAGCCCUCCAGCUAACGAGGACCCCAGACUUGAGGUACCUCACACAACCUGUUUGGGGUUGGGUCAGGAGUCCGGUUAGCAAGGGCCAGGUAAGCGGCUCUCUCGGAGGUAGGACUCGCAUCUCUGGUUUGGGAAUAACUCGCUCUUUAAUUAAGGGAUCCUUAGUCAAUUUGUCCAUAGUCAUUGGACAUGGGUAACAGCUUGUCUGUUGUCCCAAAAUUUGGUGGGGCGGUCUGUAGCCCAAAGAAAUACGGCCGCAAGUUACAUGGUUUCGAAGUAUGGACCUGAUGCAAGCAAGUAUUUAGAGAAAUGGCAAGCAAUGACAAAGGCCAAUCCGAAGGUAAGCUGGCCAAGGUGGGGUUCACUUAAUGAGGAAAGGAUGUUGUUUCUGCAGUCUGUUUUAAGUGAAGCAGGUCAAGAAAUUGAGGGAGACGAAAGAGAAGUCUUCAACCAAUGGCUCGAGGAGUACACCCAGAGAAAACACAGGUCAGAACGAUCCGUAGAACAAGAGACGGGUAAGAACAAGAGAAAGGUAAGGGAGGAGGAGAAUCAAGGUGAACAAGGCAGGGAAGCCACUAAAAAGCAAAUAGCUGAUUUACAGAAGGAGGUAGAAAGCCUUAAAGAACUCCUGAAAGGCUCUAGCAACCCAGCAACCUCUUUAGACAGCAUACCUGAGCCCCUAGAAUCACCUGAGGCACCCAUCCCUCAAUUCCCUUUUAAAAUUAAGGGAAGGGAAGGAACCAAAACAAUGCAGGUAUCUUUUACUCCUUGGACAAAAACAGAGCUCAGAGCCAUGGCCAAGGAAUUCCCAAAGGUUAGAGAAAACCCCAUAGAAUUUGCCAAGGAAUUUGAAUUAACUCUCUCUACAUACCAGCCUGGCCUAUCAGACCUUUACCAGCUAGCUCACAUACUGGUAGGUUCAGGAGAUGCAGCCCACUGGUUUAAAACUGCAAGUUGGGAGAACCCUUUAGAAUAUAUUAAUCAGUUAAUGGCCAGAAAGGAAGGACCUGAAAUCCAUCUUCAGGAGGCAAAGAAGAUGGGAGAGGCUUUGUUAGAAGCAAUCCCCAAGGCCUUUCCAAAAUCUGUAAAUUGGGGAAAAAUCCAAACUUGCACUCAGAAAGAAGGAGAAUCUGUAUUUGAUUUUUAUAAUAGAUUUUUAGAUACCUUCAGGGCAAAUUCUGGACUUUCCCCAGAUAGCCCAGACACCUUAAUUACCUUUAACACCCUCUAUGUGGAAGGGUUAAAUAAGGCCCUUGCAAAUCUCCUCAAGAGAGGGAAAGUAGACUGGAAUUUAACUCCCACCUUCCAAAUGCUUACAGCUCCCAUUAUAACCUAUGAUCUUCCGCAG
rnacentral:lncRNA from 1 species